AGGUAUUAAGAAAUGGAGAGAAAAAUAAGCAGAAUCCAUCUUGCUUCUGAACCCAAUAUAACUCAUUUUCUACAAGUAUCUUGGGAGAAAACACUGGAAUCUGGUUUUGUUAUUACACUUACUGAUGGUCAUUCAGCAUGGACUGGGACAGUUUCUGAAUCAGAGAUUUCCCAAGAAGCUGAUGACAUGGCAAUGGAAAAGGGGAAAUAUGUUGGUGAACUGAGAAAAGCAUUGUUGUCAGGAGCAGGACCAGCUGAUGUAUACACGUUUAAUUUUUCUAAAGAGUCUUGUUAUUUCUUCUUUGAGAAAAACAUGAAAGAUGUCUCAUUCAGACUUGGUUCCUUCAACCUAGAGAAAGUUGAAAACCCAGCUGAAGUCAUUAGAGAACUUAUUUGUUAUUGCUUGGACACCAUUGCAGAAAAUCAAGCCGAAAAUGAGCACCUGCAGAGAGAAAAUGAAAGGCUUCUGAGAGAUUGGAAUGAUGUUCAAGGACGAUUUGAAAAAUGUGUGAGCGCUAAGGAAGCUUUGGAGACUGAUCUUUAUAAGCGGUUUAUUCUGGUGUUGAAUGAGAAGAAGACAAAAAUCAGAAGUUUGCAUAAUAAAUUAUUAAAUGCAGCUGAAGAACGAGAAAAGGACAUCAAACAAGAAGGGGAAACUGCAAUCUGUUCUGAAAUGACUGCUGACCGAGAUCCAGUCUAUGAUGAGAGUACUGAUGAGGAAAGUGAAAACCAAACUGAUCCCUCUGGGUUGGCUUCAGCUGCUGUAAGUAAAGAUGAUUCCAUUAUUUCAAGUCUUGAUGUCACUGAUAUUGCACCAAGUAGAAAAAGGAGACAGCGAAUGCAAAGAAAUCUUGGGACAGAACCUAAAAUGGCUCCUCAGGAGAAUCAGCUUCAAGAAAAGGAAAAGUAAGUCAUUUUAUUCUUUGCCAAGAAGUGAGAUGACAUUUUUGAAAAUCUAGCAUAUGAUCUUAAAAAUUAUGUUUUCAUUUUGAAUGUUUUUAAAGUUAUUUUUAAGAAAAUGUCAUUUUGGAAUUAGAAAAUGUUUGAAUCAAUAUAUUGUUUCAGUAUUUGGUUAAUUUCUAUUAAUAUUUAAAGCUGAAAUGCUGAAAACAUUAGCAAAAAUUUUUUUCUCAUGGUUUUUAUAGAUUAAUUAGAAAUGGCAUGUAGGAUACAAAAAAUAUUGGAAUCCAACUAGUGUUCAGUAAAGUGUUUCAAUCUAAUUUACUGCUUGAAAGAGACCCGUAUGGCAUUCAAAUUAGCCAUUUAAUUUGGUUAUGCUUGGCAUUUUUUUCAAGUAAAAUGUCUCUUUUUCAUCAUCUGUUUAUUUCUAUCAAGUUUUGGCAUUGUGUACUUUAUUUUAACUGUUUUUCACUCUUUGAUUCUGAUUACCCUGCAUCAGUCUAUAUUUCAAUUUAGGUGUGAUGAGUUGCGAAGUUGAAACACUUAAUAUUUCGUUACAGCAAAACAAUGAGCAUUUAUAAAGAAUAUUAUCAGUUUAAUCCAAAAUGAAUGUGCAAAUCAUUUGUAUCUUUGGGUAUAUGUAUAUAUGCUCUGAGAAUUUAUUUUUU
rnacentral:sRNA from 1 species